rnacentral:rRNA from 1 species
UCCGUAGGCGGGCAAUUAAGUCAGAGGUGAAAUCCCACAGCUCAACUGUGGAACUGCCUUUGAUACUGGUUGUCUUGAGUUAUAGUGAAGUAGAUAGAAUAUGUAGUGUAGCGGUGAAAUGCAUAGAUAUUACAUAGAAUACCGAUUGCGAAGGCAGUCUACUAACUGUAUACUGACACUAAUGGACGAAAGCGUGGGGAGCGAACAGGAUUAGAUACCCUGGUAGUCC